rnacentral:misc_RNA from 1 species
GGAAAUUUGAUAUCUUGGAGAAAAUGAUUGAGAGGUUUAUAAUAAAUAACCCACCUCUUUUUUCCUCGAAGUCUUUCUGACCCUUUCUCUACGUAGAAAGCUUGACAGGCUCAAGGUGAGCUCGUAGGCUCAAUUAAGCUUUGUUGUAAGAGUUGCUUACAUUUUUCUUGGGCUAGGAGGAGGUCAGUAGGAUUCAUAUCCGGAUGGGUUGCUUUAGUUGGGUUUACUUCUUCAUUAAGUUUGAAAGGAAGAUGAACAUAGAAUGCUGUAUGUUUCCAU